CAGAAUUCGCCCUUAGAGUUUGAUCAUGGCUCAGGACGAACGCUGGCGGCGGGCCUAACACAUGCAAGUCGAACGAACUCGACCUUCGGUUCAUAGAGUGAGUGGCGAACGGGUGAGUAACACGUGAGAAACCUGCCCCGAAGACUGGAACAACCCGAGGAAACUCGGGCUAAUACCGGAUAUCCCCAUCGGAUCGCAUGAUCUGGUGAGGAAAUGCUCCGGCGCUUCGGGAGGGUCUCGCGGCCUAUCAGCUAGUUGGUGAGGUAACGGCUCACCAAGGCAACGACGGGUAGCUGGUCUGAGAGGACGAUCAGCCACACUGGGACUGAGACACGGCCCAGACUCCUACGGGAGGCAGCAGUGGGGAAUAUUGCGCAAUGGGCGAAAGCCUGACGCAGCCACACCGCGUGAGGGAUGAAGGCUCUAGGGUUGUAAACCUCUUUAGGCAGGGAAGAAAAUGACGGUACCUGCAGAAUAAGGUCCGGCCAACUAUGUGCCAGCAGCCGCGGUAAUACAUAGGGACCGAGCGUUGUCCGGAUUUAUUGGGCGUAAAGAGCUCGUAGGCGGUUCGGUAAGUCAGGUGUGAAAGCUCGAGGCUCAACCUCGAGAUGCCACCUGAUACUGCUGUGACUUGAGUCCGGUAGAGGAGUGUGGAAUUCCUGGUGUAGCGGUGAAAUGCGCGGAUAUCAGGAGGAACACCAAUUGCGAAGGCAGCACUCUGGGCCGGUACUGACGCUGAGGAGCGAAAGCGUGGGGAGCGAACAGGAUUAGAUACCCUGGUAGUCCACGCCGUAAACGUUGGGCACUAGGUGUGGGAUCGAAUUAACCGAUUCCGUACCGUAGCUAACGCAUUAA
rnacentral:rRNA from 1 species